rnacentral:tRNA from 1 species
GCGGAAGUGGCGGAAUUGGUAGACGCGCUGGAUUUAGGUUCCAGUGCCUUAGGGCGUGAGGGUUCAAGUCCCUUCUUCCGUACGA